GAGAAAGACAUAGAGGCUAUGGGGUUGGCUUGAAACCAGUCUUAGGGGGUUCGAAUCCUUCCUUUCUUA
rnacentral:tRNA from 1 species